rnacentral:lncRNA from 1 species
CACUCUGCCAAACAGUGUGCCGUUUCUGUGAGCGGUGAAGACACAGCUGUCUGCUGCUGCCCCUUGUCGCCUUCUGUGUAUAGUCCGUCAUCUGCUCUGCCAACGACAAAUCCCUUUUCAAGUCCUGUCUUGUUUCCCAACUUAAUUAAAUAGGUAAAAAGUCUUUUUAAGUAGGGGCUAUUAUUUUUAUAUUCACUUAUGUCCCAGAUUCU